AUAGAGCAUUGCAAUUAUUGCUCUUCAACGAGGAAUGCCUAGUAAGCGCGUGUCAUCAGCACGCGUUGAUUACGUCCCUGCCCUUUGUACACACCGCCCGUCGCUACUACCGAUUGAAUGGCUCAGUGAGGCCUUCGGACUGGCUCGAGGAGGUUGGCAACGACCACCUCAAGCCGGAAAGUUGGUCAAACUCGGUCAUUUAGAGGAAGUAAAAGUCGUAACAAGGUUUCCGUAGGUGAACCUGCGGAAGGAUCAUUAUCUAUUCCAUGAGGUGCGGUCGCGGCCCUCGGCGGGAGCAACAGCUGCCGUCGGGCGGUAGAGGUAACACUUUCACGCGCCGCAUGUCUGAAUCCUUUUUUUACGAGCACCUUUCGUUCUCCUUCGGCGGGGCAACCUGCCGUUGGAACCUAUCAAAACCUUUUUUUUGCAUCUAGCAUUACCUGUUCUGAUACAAACAAUCGUUACAACUUUCAACAAUGGAUCUCUUGGCUCUGGCAUCGAUGAAGAACGCAGCGAAAUGCGAUAAGUAGUGUGAAUUGCAGAAUUCAGUGAAUCAUCGAAUCUUUGAACGCACAUUGCGCCCCUUGGUAUUCCAUGGGGCAUGCCUGUUCGAGCGUCAUCUACACCCUCAAGCUCUGCUUGGUGUUGGGCGUCUGUCCCGCCUCUGCGCGCGGACUCGCCCCAAAUUCAUUGGCAGCGGUCCUUGCCUCCUCUCGCGCAGCACAUUGCGCUUCUCGAGGGGCGCGGCCCGCGUCCACGAAGCAACAUUACCGUCUUGACCUCGGAUCAGGUAUG
rnacentral:rRNA from 1 species